UUUUGUAUUUUUAUUACAUACACUCAGAAAUAAUAGAAAUCAUAAGCGGUUUAAAACUCAUACAUUUUUGUCAUACUUAAAGAAUACACUAGGCUCAGUUUAAGUGGUAUACAUUUUUGGUAUAAUAAACUAAACUAAGCUGGACUUCCACAAAACUAUUUUUAUCAGUGUAUUUUAGCGACCGCAGAUGUUCACAAAAACAAAAAUGUCGGUGAAGACGGCUUGACUCGCGAAAUUCGUUUCAUUAAUUUGUCUACUAUUCGAUUAACUAUCAUUAGAAAAUUCUCAAAAGUGGACUGCUUUUCAUUAGAAAUUGCGAAUCAAUCGAAUGGCGAAUGGCUAGGAACUGUUUGGUAGAAAAGCUCGAAAACACCGAGUGUCUGCACGUGCAAAACGGAAACAGCGUCAUGGAGUACUACUUCAAUGCAGAAAACACGGUCCAGAAAGCAGAAACAUGAGAAGAAUCCAUCAUUUCGGAUCUGGAUGCUAUUGAAUAUUUGCAGGAUAAUUAAAUACGAGCGGCUCGGAAGUUUUGUGAACGGCAGACUACGCAGAAUCAAAAUUUUAGUUAUCUGAAAUAAGGCAUGGGUCUUAAUGUUAAGUGCAAACUACUGAUUUCAUUUCCAUGUGUUUUAAAGAUAAUAAAAUAAAAACGGGGAGUUUGAUUUUUUUCAA
rnacentral:lncRNA from 1 species